rnacentral:rRNA from 1 species
AAUUACAGCCAUACCAUCAUAAAAGUACCAGAUCUCCUCUGGUCCUGGAAGCUUAGCAGGAUUAGGACUGGUUAGUAAUUGGACAAGAGAAUUACCCGAAGUGGCAUAUGCCUGUUUUCC